AUAAACUCAAAACAUAGGCCGACAAGGCCGUACAAUCUUUUACGUACACGACAUAUGUCUACAAGCCUCUAAGAAUACUUAAAUGCCUAAAGGUCGGGACAGAGUCCCGCCAUACCAAACAAUACAUGUCUAAAUCAUACUAACCAAAUGAGCAACUCCGAAUCAAAUGGAGCGCACCAACAUCUUCCGUUGAGCUGAUAACCUACUUGGUGGGCUCUCGACCUGUCUAUCAGGACCUGCGGGCAUGGAACACAGUGUCCCCGGGCAAAAGGGAUGUCAGUACGAAUAAUGUACCGAGUAUGUAAGGCACGUAAAUAAAUACAUAAGAGACAUGGAAGACAUAUGGAGUACAUGACUCAACAUGUAAGUCUGAAUAACUUUGUAAAUCAUAAAUUACUUUCAGCGUCAAGAAUAUGCGUAUGAAUGUCAUGUCGUGCAUAGGUACAUGUUUCAUAACAUCAUCAGCCUCUAAGGGCAUUCCAUUAUAUCAUACCGGCCACUGUGGGCAAAAUCAUCAUCGUAUACCAGCUAAUCAGGUGGUGGUGCGUAUAUAAUGCCAUAACCUUUCCCAUAUCUCAUAUACAUAUAUUUACAUAUAUACGCAUAUAUAACGUCGUUUGAGUACAUACAUAUAUAUGCGUAUAUAACGCCGUUUGAAUCAUAUUUCAGCCACUGUGGGCAACAUCAGCAUCAUAUACCAGUUGAUCAGGUGGUGAUGCGUAUAUAACGCCGUAACCUUUUCCCAUAUCCUAUAUACAUAUAUUUACAUAUAUACGCGUAUAUAACACCAUCUGGUCUUGGGUCAGUGCACAUGAAUGCAGUGCAUAAAAAUUACGUCAAUAAAAUCAUUCGGAAUGUCAUAAGACCAUUUUGCUUUUGAGUAAUAUUAUAAAGUAAACUUUUUUCAACUUUCGUAUUUUUCUGAGACCCAUGAACAGAUGAUAAGACAUUAUAACACACGAAGAUUCAAGAACACAGAUAUCUCUAAUACUUUUAUGAAUAGAGUCAUUCAUGGAAUUUGUGCGUUUGCACGUUCCGUUCGUAUCGUAUGGAUCAUGCCAAAAGAAAGAAGGGAUAGCCUUAACAUACCUGGAGUAGGGAAAACUCCGUAUAAUAACCCAUUGGAAAACCUUCGUUUAUUGAGAAAAAUUUGCCCCUUAUUCUUAAAUCCUCACGGACUAAAUUGAUUCUGGUUCCUAAAAGUUUUGGAAUAAAAUAACGUUUUGUUCCUUGGAAUUUUGAGAAUAGUAACGUCUCUGCUUUCUUGAUUUGAACUGAUGAACGAAAAUUCAAGAAAGGUUGGUCUUAAGCUAAACUUGUUCCAACAUUUGGAGUUUGAAAUUUUUUGCAAAGCCUUUCAAAUGAAAUGGGUUAGGAUUUGAAAUUCAGAAAGCAAAACCCAC
rnacentral:lncRNA from 1 species